rnacentral:rRNA from 2 species
GGACUACUGGGGUAUCUAAUCCUGUUUGCUCCCCACGCUUUCGCGUCUCAGCGUCAGAAACCGUCCAGAUAGCCGCCUUCGCCACUGGUGUUCUUCCCAAUCUCUACGUAUUUCACCACUACACUGGGAAUUCCACUAUCCUCUCCGGUCCUCUAGCCGCCAAGUAUCGAGUGCAAUUCUUGAGUUGAGCUCAAGGCUUUCACACCCGACUUUGACAGCCGCCUGCACGCGCUUUACGCCCAGUAAUUCCGAACAACGCUAGCCCCCUUCGUCUUACCGCGGCUGCUGGCAC